AUUGAACGCUGGCGGCAUGCUUUACACAUGCAAGUCGAGCGGCAGCGCGGGGGCAACCCUGGCGGCGAGCGGCGAACGGGUGAGUAACACAUCGGAACGUACCUAGUUGUGGGGGAUAACCUACCGAAAGGUAGGCUAAUACCGCAUGAGCUCGGGAGAGGAAAGCGGGGGACCUGCAAGGGCCUCGCGCGACUGGAGCGGCCGAUGUCCGAUUAGCUAGUUGGUGGGGUAAAGGCUUACCAAGGCGACGAUCGGUAGCUGGUCUGAGAGGAUGAUCAGCCACACUGGGACUGAGACACGGCCCAGACUCCUACGGGAGGCAGCAGUGGGGAAUUUUGGACAAUGGGGGCAACCCUGAUCCAGCCAUGCCGCGUGAGUGAAGAAGGCCU
rnacentral:rRNA from 1 species